rnacentral:tRNA from 1 species
UUAGUGCUGAGCCGGGAUUUAGCGGGUUACUUUGAUGUGGUAACGUUCGAGGGUUAAACCCCUCCAGCAC